rnacentral:ncRNA from 20 species
GGGAUGUUGUUAUGCACUGGAUUUAUAGUGAGGUUUGGUGAUCAGCCAAACCUCUU